CCCACCUGAGCCUCCCAAAGUGCUGGGAUUACAGGCGUGAGCCACUGCGCCCGGCCAUGCCUGGCUAAUUUUUGCAUGUUUAGUAGAGACGGAUUUUCA
rnacentral:miRNA from 1 species